UACGAAGGGGGCUAGCGUUGUUCGGAAUUACUGGGCGUAAAGCGUGCGCAGGCGGCUUCUCAAGUCAGGGGUGAAAGCCCAGAGCUCAACUCUGGAAUUGCCUUUGAGACUGAGUGGCUUGAGUACGAGAGAGGUGAGUGGAAUUCCCAGUGUAGAGGUGAAAUUCGUAGAUAUUGGGAAGAACACCGGUGGCGAAGGCGGCUCACUGGACCGAGACUGACGCUGAGGCGCGAAAGCGUGGGGAGCAAACAGG
rnacentral:rRNA from 1 species